rnacentral:rRNA from 1 species
GAUGAACGCUGGCGGCGUGCCUAAUACAUGCAAGUCGAGCGAACGGACGAGAAGCUUGCUUCUCUGAUGUUAGCCGCGGACGGGUGAGUAACGCGAGGAUCACCUACCUAUCAUACGGGGAUAACUUGGGGACACCGGAUCUAAUACCGUAUAAUAUUUUGAACCGCAUGGUUCAAAAGUGAAAGACGGUCUUGCGGGCACUUAUAGCUGGAUCCGCGCUGCAUGAGCUAGUUGGUAAGGUCACGGGUUACCAAGGCAACGCUGCAUAGCCGACCUGAGAGGGGGAUAGGCCACACGGGAGCGGAGCCGGGGUCAUGGCUCCUACGGUAGGCAGCAGUAGGGAAUCUUAGGCAGUGGUCGAGAGCCUGACGGAGCAACGCGGAGCGAGUGAUGAAGGUCUUGGGAUCGGAAUACUGUGUUAUUAGGGAAGAACAUCUUUGGAAGUAGCCGUGCAGAUAGUGACGGUACCUGAUAAGAAAGCCCCGGCUAACUACGUG